rnacentral:tRNA from 1 species
GCCCAGGUGACGGAAUUGGUAUACGUACUGUCCUCAGAAGGCAGGUUUUGAGGGUUCGAGUCCCUCUCUGGGUA